GAUGAACGCCGGCGGUGUGCCUAAUACAUGCAAGUCGAACGCGUUGGUCCAAUUGAUUGAUGGUGCUUGCACCUGAUUGAUUUUGGUCGCCAACGAGUGGCGGACGGGUGAGUAACACGUAGGUAACCUGCCCAGAAGCGGGGGACAACAUUUGGAAACAGAUGCUAAUACCGCAUAACAGCGUUGUUCGCAUGAACAACGCUUAAAAGAUGGCUUCUCGCUAUCACUUCUGGAUGGACCUGCGGUGCAUUAGCUUGUUGGUGGGGUAAUGGCCUACCAAGGCGAUGAUGCAUAGCCGAGUUGAGAGACUGAUCGGCCACAAUGGGACUGAGACACGGCCCAUACUCCUACGGGAGGCAGCAGUAGGGAAUCUUCCACAAUGGGCGCAAGCCUGAUGGAGCAACACCGCGUGAGUGAAGAAGGGUUUCGGCUCGUAAAGCUCUGUUGUUAAAGAAGAACACGUAUGAGAGUAACUGUUCAUACGUUGACGGUAUUUAACCAGAAAGUCACGGCUAACUACGUGCCAGCAGCCGCGGUAAUACGUAGGUGGCAAGCGUUAUCCGGAUUUAUUGGGCGUAAAGAGAGUGCAGGCGGUUUUCUAAGUCUGAUGUGAAAGCCUUCGGCUUAACCGGAGAAGUGCAUCGGAAACUGGAUAACUUGAGUGCAGAAGAGGGUAGUGGAACUCCAUGUGUAGCGGUGGAAUGCGUAGAUAUAUGGAAGAACACCAGUGGCGAAGGCGGCUACCUGGUCUGCAACUGACGCUGAGACUCGAAAGCAUGGGUAGCGAACAGGAUUAGAUACCCUGGUAGUCCAUGCCGUAAACGAUGAGUGCUAGGUGUUGGAGGGUUUCCGCCCUUCAGUGCCGGAGCUAACGCAUUAAGCACUCCGCCUGGGGAGUACGACCGCAAGGUUGAAACUCAAAGGAAUUGACGGGGGCCCGCACAAGCGGUGGAGCAUGUGGUUUAAUUCGAAGCUACGCGGAGAACCUUACCAGGUCUUGACAUCUUGCGCCAACCCUAGAGAUAGGGCGUUUCCUUCGGGAACGCAAUGACAGGUGGUGCAUGGUCGUCGUCAGCUCGUGUCGUGAGAUGUUGGGUUAAGUCCCGCAACGAGCGCAACCCUUGUUACUAGUUGCCAGCAUUAAGUUGGGCACUCUAGUGAGACUGCCGGUGACAAACCGGAGGAAGGUGGGGACGACGUCAGAUCAUCAUGCCCCUUAUGACCUGGGCUACACACGUGCUACAAUGGACGGUACAACGAGUCGCGAACUCGCGAGGGCAAGCAAAUCUCUUAAAACCGUUCUCAGUUCGGACUGCAGGCUGCAACUCGCCUGCACGAAGUCGGAAUCGCUAGUAAUCGCGGAUCAGCAUGCCGCGGUGAAUACGUUCCCGGGCCUUGUACACACCGCCCGUCACACCAUGAGAGUUUGUAACACCCAAAGUCGGUGGGGUAACCUUUUAGGAGCCAGCCGCCUAAGGUGGGACAGAUGAUUAGGGUG
rnacentral:rRNA from 2 species